rnacentral:rRNA from 1 species
ACGAACGCUGGCGGCGUGCUUCACGCAUGCACGUCGAAUGGUGAAGCGCCUUCCUUUUUGGUGGGUGUGGAUGAGUGGCGAACGGGUGAGUAACACGUGAGUAACCUGCCCCCUUCUUCUGGAUAACCGCAUGAAAGUGUGGCUAAUACGGGAUAUUCUGGGUCUGUCGCAUGAUGGGUCUGGGAAAGAUAUUGUUUCGGUGGGGGAUGGGCUCGCGGCCUAUCAGCUUGUUGGUGGGGUGAUGGCCUACCAAGGCGGUGACGGGUAGCCGGCCUGAGAGGGUGGACGGUCACACUGGGACUGAGACACGGCCCAGACUCCGACGGGAGGCAGCAGUGGGGAAUAUUGCACAAUGGGCGCAAGCCUGAUGCAGCGACGCCGCGUGAGGGAUGGAGGCCUUCGGGUUGUGAACCUCUUUCGCCAGUGAAGCAGGCCUGCCUCGUUUGUGGGUGGGUUGACGGUAGCUGGAUAAGAAGCGCCGGCUAACUACGUG